GUCAGUCUGUAUAGGUGCUUGAGUUCCAAGUGAGAUACAUCUCAUCUUGUGAUCUCCCCUGUACCCGAGCUUGUCUAUAGUGAGCUUGUGUGUGUCAAUGAGCUUGUCUGUAGUGAGCUUGUGUGUGUCAAUGAGCUUGUCUGUAGUGAGCAUGUGUGUGUCAGUGAGCUUGUCUGUAGUGAGCUUGUGUGUGUGUCAGUGAACUUAUUCGUAGUAAGCGUGUGUAUCAGCGAGUUUGUCUGUGGUGAGAAG